UGUUGCCAAGAUCUGACCACUUCCGGAGUAAGAGAAGACCACUCUUUGGAAUCAUUAAGGGUCUUCGGGUCAGCUUUCAGAUGAUCUCGGGAACCCCUGGCUCUGCAACCGGAAGUUCCUGAGGGAGGAAAGUCAGGAAUUGUCUGCCAAGAGUUGUGGACAGGAAGUGAAAAGACACAGCUACAGAGGUGAAGAGGCAAACGAAAGCCCUCCAGGCACCAGAGGAGGUUUGGCUUCCUGGUCAACUCAGUCGCCACUCACCAAGUAGCUCAAUCAUUUGAACAUUCAGUGUGGAGCAUUUCGUAGGAAAUGAAGCAACAGCAAGAAAACCGAAUGGCCUUUUACUAUAUGCAGCCUCAAGUUAAAAAUUCCAAGAAGUCCUGAAGUUAUGUACAGACUUUCAAAGCAGCUGUUCAAAAUCCCAUCUCCAUCAUCAAGGGCAGGGCUGGGUUAAAGACCAUUCUUUCCAUAUGGAAUCCUAGUGAAGACAAGAAGAGUCAAUACUUCCUGAGCAAGAACAAGGGCAGAGAAGCUUUUUGGGGUAUUGCAGAGAUAACCAGUAUGCCCUUGGGUCACCCCUGUGAUGGUGAUCUGUCUGAUGGUGCCUCAGUUCAGAACUAGGGUACCUGUGUAGCACCAUCUAGGCUGUGGGUUCCAUUCCUGGUGUUUCCCUCCUUCUGGCUUAGUUGCUUCCUAGUAUGUAUGUAUGUGAUCCUCAUGCAGAGUUAACCCUCAGCCAGAUGAUUAUACUAACACUUUAACACAGGGUUUCUACCCAGGUUAUCAUGGGUGCUGUACUUUGAAUCACAGGAUGUUUAGCUUUGGCUUCUACAUACCAGACGCCAUAGUUAUACAUAGCCAGAAUGGUUAGUUUUGUCAAUUUAAUACAACCUAGAAUCACCUGGAAAGGGAAAUUGUCUAUAUCAAGUUAACUAGCGGGCAUGUCUGUGGGGAAUAGUAUCAAUGAAAUCGAUUGGUAUGGGAAGGCCUAUCCCACCCUGGGGAGUACCACUCCCUAGAAAAGGGGUCCUGAACUGUAAUGUGUAAAGGGUCCUGAUGACAAGUACCAUCAUGCCUGCAUUCAUUCUCUUUCUGCUCUCACCUAGGGAUGUAUUAGCUGUUUGAAGUACAUUCUGCCUUGACUCCCCUGAUAUGAUGGGCUAUAACCAUUAUGAGCUAAAACAUACCUUUUCUCCCUUGAGUUUGCUUUUGUCAGGAUAUUUUAUCAUAGCAUUAGAAAAUGAAACUAGAAUUCUACCCCAAUUUACAAGAUAACAAGAUCUCCCCACACAAGAUUAGUAGGCCUCUUAAGAUUUACUUAUUUAUUUUAUGUAUAUGAGUACAUGGUAGCUGUCUUCAGACAUACCAGAA